rnacentral:tRNA from 1 species
GGGGAUUUAGCUCAACGGCACAGCGCCUGCCUGGCAACCACAAGGUCCUGAGUUCAAUCCCCAGUACCCCCC